GGGGGUAUAGUUCAGUGGUAGAACGAUGGUCUCCAAAACCAUUAAUCUGGGUUCGAUUCCUAGUACCCCCG
rfam:Candidatus Sungbacteria bacterium RIFCSPHIGHO2_02_FTLL_49_20 rifcsphigho2_02_scaffold_13292, whole genome shotgun sequence.